rnacentral:lncRNA from 1 species
AAGGUGUUCACUUGGGUGCUCAGGGGAAACCUUAUUGCUCUCUACAACUACCUGAAAGGAGGUGGUAGCAAGGCAGAGUUUGGUAUCUUCUGCCAGGUAACCAGUGACAGAACAAGAGGAGAAGCUGCUGGUGAAGCAACUCCAUAGCUCCUUGUGGCUCUCCCACAUCCUCUUUGCAGAAGGUUCUGAGCACACGGAGGCUUCUGCUGAUAAACG